AAGACCUCAAAUCAGGUGGAAUUACCUGCUGAACUUAAGCAUAUCAAUAAGCAGAGGAAAAGAAACUAACAAGGAUUCCCUUAGUAAUGGCGAA
rnacentral:rRNA from 1 species